rnacentral:lncRNA from 1 species
AGUGGUGGGGAUGGGGAGAAUUCUGGGCUAUCUGCUGAUCGGCUCAGCACUCUGUAUGGGCGUGGUCAGUCUAACCCUAAGCUACACCUCCAGGGUCAGAGUUCACAAAGGGAGGAGCCUCACACUGCACUGCAUGAACACAACACAUGCAGGUGAGAUAACACACAAAAAAAGACUACCUUUUUGGAACGUCCCCGUACACCUGUUAUACUGGUGUGUGUGUAGGAGGGGUCCAGUACUGGCAGACCCCAUUCGGUCAGGUCCUGAACAGCAGUCUUCAUGCCAACCAGAAAGAUGUGGUUACUAUGCAACAAGAUGGUAGCCUGCAGAUCCACAUUGCCUCUCCUCACCACAGCAGCCUGUACUACUGCCUCCUACUGACCGGAGGACAAACUACACUCAUCCUACCUGCUGAGUGCCAGCAGUCCCAUGGUUUCUGACGGUGUGUUUGUGGAGGCGGUGACGGCAUCAGUAGUGGUGACGUUCCUGGUGGGGUUCAGCUCUGGAGCUCUAAGCAGGAGUCUACUGGACUUUAUCUACCUAUAUUAAAUAUUUAUUAAACUCACUCCUAAGGUGUGUGAAUUGGGUGCGGUCGCUAGGACAGGAACGUCGUAACCAUGGUGAAACAGUCAGCGUGGCAUUCCGGCAGGAUGUGGAACAAGAGGAUGACUCUGCCUCGACGACAAGCAUUAUCAUGGAUAAAGUCAGCCCAUCUCCACCGGCCAAAACUCAGAGAGGCUUCAGGGGGAAAAUGUCAUGAAGAGAACAGUACUUAUCCCCCGCCCCCUGGGCCAAGCAGUGCUCGCUGUCCCUCACCAGGCUCAACACCAUCAUGGCUGCUGCCAGCGCCGGCCCCCUCGACACCCAGAGCCCCCCGGGUAGAGACUCCGACCCCCAGGACUCAGACCCUGACGAAAGGGACACAGCCAGUCCAUCCCAGGGCCAGGAGAAACCAGUCUUUCAACUUGAGAUGUGACAUACAAGAUCUGGGCCUGUAUUCAUAAAGCGUAUGGCUGCUGAUAAAUUAUCCCAUCCUGACCGG